rnacentral:rRNA from 1 species
AUUGAACGCUGGCGGCAGGCUUAACACAUGCAAGUCGAGCGGGGUGAUGGUGCUUGCACUAUCACUUAGCGGCGGACGGGUGAGUAAUGCUUAGGAAUCUGCCUAUUAGUGGGGGACAACAUCUCGAAAGGGAUGCUAAUACCGCAUACGUCCUACGGGAGAAAGCAGGGGAUCACUUGUGACCUUGCGCUAAUAGAUGAGCCUAAGUCGGAGUAGCUAGUUGGUGUGGUAAAGGCCUACCAAGGCGACGAUCUGUAGCGGGCCUGAGAGGAUGAUCAGCCGCACUGUUACUGAGACACGGCCCAGACUCCUACUGGAGGCAGCAGUGUGGAAUAUUGGACAAUGGGGGGAACCCUGAUCCAGCCAUGCCGCGUGUGUGAAGAAGGCCUUAUGGUUGUAAAGCACUUUAAGCGAGGAGGAGGCUCUUUUGGUUAAUACCCAAGAUGAGUGGACGUUACUCGCAGAAUAAGCACCGGCUAACUCUGUGCCAGCCGCCGCAGUAA